rnacentral:lncRNA from 1 species
UAUGAUGUAUUUGAUUGAAGUUUUUGAUGUCAUAAUAAUAGGUAUCACACAUGCUCUUAACUUUUUGAUUCAACAUUUUACUUAGGUAUAGUGAUUACAAGACACAAAAUUUCUAGUUGUGACAUUCUCUGAACCAAUCAACUCCUUUCGCGGGUUUAUACAAAUCCGAAUCAAUUCUUUAUAACAUUAAGAGUUGAAUAAUACUUAUCUGCUUAGUCAUUACCGAAACGAAGGUAACGACACACCUGAAUAAAACGAAAUCAUUUACUAGCUUCUUGGUGACCUUGUGACUUUUUCCUGAUCCAAGUGUGAGUCCCAUGCUUCCAGUAGGAUAGGCCUCUACUACUACUCACACCUACUCAUACUCGUCCCAACUAUUGUCCCACAGUUCCCAAGUCACCAUUCAAAAGUUUUCACAAAGCAACUUAUCACACAUGAAUGUGUUCAAACAAAUACAAACAACGCUUUCUCCUAGACUCAACUAGGGUUUUCAUGUGUCUAUCAAACAUAUAUUGGAUUACCUAUACUCGCCUUUAUUAUUCUCAUGCAUAAGCUUGUUUUAAUAUAUCCUAAUACUUUUCCAUAGGUCGAUAAAAAUUUUACUUCCAUUUCUUUAUAUAAAUUCUUUCUUGAGUAGUGUCUACUUUACAAGACACACUAUUCCAAAAUUUACUGUAGCCGCAUGGAGAUAAAUGGUCUUCUACUACCUGCAUCAUCUUCUAACUCAUGCAAUCCAUCAUGCACAUUUGUUCAUUUCAUUAUUCUUCCUUGAAAUCGUUAUUCUUGUAUCUGAGUAAGUCUAAGUGUAUUUCUUAGGAGUCUAUCCUAAAAAGUCUACAUCAUAGCUGCAUCUCAGCAAGCUCUACUAGCUUCAACAUGGUUCUCUAUCAUUCCUGACUACAACAUCUCUUCUCAUUCGAUACUAUGGGUGUAUUUCUUCUUUAAUUAAGCAUUCUACCUUACUUAAACAAGUAAGUUGCUUAACCACUUACCACUAAGUGAUUCAAUUCACCAUCCCAAUCAUGUAUGUAAAAGUCGGCUUAACACACAAUAGAACUUCUAUAAGGAUGGGAUAGAAGUCAAUCGUCACUUAGUAUUAUUAAAUACUAAGUCUAAACAUCUUGUAUAGGGUUACAACUCGAACUGCAUACUACAUUACAAUGUUUUUUACGAAGUCUUGGCCUAUUGAGUCUGAAAACUUCAUUAAGCCUUCCUUUAAUUCUUCUAAAUCUUGUACAACAUUGAUUGAGAUACUAUCGAAGUAUUGACCGCCAUCUUUGGUUCUUCUGACUCUCUAAACAAUCACUGCUUCAGUCUAAACAUCGGUGGAAACAACUUCAUGGAUUUGCACCAACACAUUUAUCUCGCCCAAACGUGUUUCAAAUACACAUCUUUCUUCCAAAGAUGUUAUUAUAUAUCGAACAUACUUUAAAUGUAUAUUACCACUCUAUUGGUAUUAAUACAUUUAUUACGAUAACAAUUCAUAUUUAUUAUUUUACGAUAUCUCGCGAUCGUUAUUUAUAAACUUAUCGAUGUCAACUAUCAUAAGUCUCUUUAUCACUUCGAAAAAUUCUAUUACGAAAACUCUUAGAAUUCUGAACAUACAAUUUUCUAAACUAAGGUCGGUAACAGACCAUAAGCUUUCUCAAAUAAUAGAAAUUAUAGAUAAGCACCUUAAGGCAUGCUAUAUUCAUUUAUUAUUUAGCACAUAUUAGAAUAUAAGGCAUAUCUCCUCUUAAUAUUCUAGUGCUUGACUCCAUUAGGUAUUCAACCUAAAAUAUACCAGAUACAUAUUGUAUCAUCUUCAUUUAACAAUUCUUGUUUAAGCUUAGAAAUUCUCGAAACUCCUAGUUCACUUAAAAUAAUUUUCUUAAAUUUCUGAAGUAAGUUAAUACCUUAGAAUAUUAGGGUUUAUCACUACCAAAUCCCCCACUUAAAUAUUUCCUAUGGUUUGUAUCCAUAUACUUAUUAUGAAUCGGCUCAUAUAUUGAGCUUCCAACAGCUUAUGUCUAAAUACCAAUCUGUGAUAUUUAGUUCACUUAAGCCAUUGCUCUGAUACCAUGAUUGAAAGACCCCAACUUUCGUAUUUAAGAAAGACCAAAACUUUCAUACUAUUCCAACAUUAUUCUUAACUUACAUCCUCAAAACAUGCAACAUGCAUAUUUAUAAAACAAUAUUUUAUAUUGAUAAAGUGAUUACAAAGGAUUGGAUACAAACCGACUAAGUUUUAUUACAUUUCAUAUCUACCCAGGAAUCUAUUAUUCAUAUACAUACUUGAACAUUAGAAUACAGAGAAAUAGUAUUAACUAUUCUAAAUCUUUCAGCAGUAUAAAACUAAAUUGGAUACUCAUCACCUACAAUUGUUAAACAUUGAAAGGGAUAAACGAUAACGCUUAGUGAAUUCAAUAAAUAGAUACAAUAUAAUCUUAUGCCUUACAUAUACCAAUAUAAUAGAAGCAAAAGGAAACAAGAAGAACAAUAGCAUAUGAGUAUCAUACAUCCGACUUUCAAUACCAACUCAAGAUUUGAUUCAAAGAUUUACGAUCAAUGAGACAUAAUGAUUUCAAUACUUGAUAUGCAUCAAUAAAGCUUUGGCCCAAAUGGCACAGAAGACAUAUAAUUUCUAAUUAACAUUUUGGUAGAUUUCAGGCUUAUAGCCCUGUCUAACCUUCUACCAAUACAAUAUAAUAGAGUUCAUUUUCUUACGGAGUCAUGCUCUACAUGGUCGGAGGCUACAUACCAUUCCUAUCUAACCUUCUGCCAAUGCCAUAGAAUAAAAGUCAUUCUCUUACGAGACAUGUUCUACAUGGCCAGAGGCUACAUACCAGUACCACCGUGAAUCUAAGUCCUUUCACUGAUCACAUGGUCAAAGGUAUAACUUUGCUAUUAAAAAUAGCUAAUAAAAAUAACACGGGGAAAUAACUCAGAAUAAUAACAUUGAAAAGCACAUAGCACAUAUAACACAUAACAUACAAUUGUUCCUAUAUAUUGAACACACCUUAAAAUAAUCGAGAGUUAAAAUAGUAAUUUGAGCAGCAUAUCGGCUCCAAAUAUGGCUUUAUUCGUCGAAAACCGGGAGAAUUAGCUAAAAAGCGGGCUCUAAAAAGGUAGAGCUUCAAACCGAAAAGAAUAGUUUCUCGGGCUUUCCAGGCACUUCGGGACGUAUUUUGGGCUUUAAAAAUAUUACCGGGGCUUCGGGGAAUGUGGAAAUAAUAAAAAUAUGGAAACACGGGCCAAAAAUGCCGAAUUCUUGAAAAUACCUGGGAGAUCUCGCAGGCUUCUAUUUAUAGGGCGAGGGGCUUGGAUCCGAGGGCUGAGAAGGCUGCACGCGGCAGCAGAUGCGAAGGUCGGCCAAGAAGGGUGAGUCACCGAAGGCAGGUGGCAGCGAGGGAGGAGGGACACGCGUCUCAAGCGAAGCUCGGACACCGGCACAACACGUGUCGGCUUCGGAUUGGUCCAGCACCUCGUAUGCGAGGAGUCACCUGGGCACGCGUCGGACCGCGGUUGGACCUACACUUCGGAUGCGAGGGUUGCGACACGCCUCGCCAGCUGGCCUCGAUGACUCAGCAGUUUUAACACGUGGGACGCAUAGAGCGAAGGUGACGUGGCCGAAGUAUGACUAUGCAGUUUUUCUCGAUUUUUGUGCAAAAACUUCUAAGAUCCAUAACUUUCGCAUACGGGCUCCGUUUUUGACGUUCUAUUUAUUCACACGUAGCUAAAAUUACGCUCUACAACUUUCGUUCGUCGGCUAAUUUUGAAUUUAAUUUUAAUAUUAUUAUUUUUAACAGAGCAAGACAGGAAAAUCCGUUAAAAAACCAUAACUUCUUCAUUAUAACUCGAAUUUUGAUGAGGUUUUCGCCUACGUGUUUCUAACGAGAUUGUAUACAAGUUUCAAUAAUAAAAUUUUACUUAUUUCAAAAUUUAUCUUUUCGCUAUAUUUUAAUAUUUGGCUUUUAAUUGGAAUCUCAUAAGACUUCCAAUAUUUUAUGAGUGAUUCUAAAUAUAGUUUUAUGUCAUUUCUAGUAAAAACUAUCCGUUAGAACUCAAAACUCAAUUUCACAUAAUAUUAUUCUCUUUUAUAAUUUACAAUACACGAUUUCAAAACGUGUAUGUUACAAAUACCUCCUCCUUUUGAGGAUUUCGUCCUCGAAAUCAUAACGAUUAAAAUAAAUGAGGAUACUUCACUCUUAUCUCAUUCUUAUUUUCCCAAGUAUAAUUUGGGCGUCGAUGGUGCUUCCACUUGACAAGCACCAACUUCAUUUCUUUAUUACGUAGAUUAGUCGUUCAUUCGUUUACAGUCUUUUAAGGUUUUUCUACAUAUCUUAACUUAUUAUCCAAUAUCUCUUAGGAUAACGGAACCGUUUCAUCAUAUACACUCAAGCAUUUGCAAAGAGAACUCACAUGAAACACUUCAUGAAUAUCCGUCAAAUCUUUAGGAAACUCCAAGUAGUAUGCUUGCUUACCAACCGUUCUUGCUUCCAAAGUAUAAUAACGCCUUUUCAUGAAAUACCUUCAGUAUUACUAAAUCAUCCACCCUGAAUUCUAUUGGUCGUCUCCUCUUUUCUGCAUAGGACGUUUGUCGAUCCUGGAUGGCUUUCAUUCUUUCUCAGAAAAUUUGUAUCCUGUUUGUGAUGUAUUGAAUCAUUUCAGAUCCUCCAAAGAUCUUAUGUCCUACAUUACACCAACAUAUUUGAGUAUGACAUUUACGCUCAUACAGUACUUUAUAUACCUUCAGUAUAUUUUGUACUAUUUGGAUUGCUCUCUUCUUCAGAUCAUUUGUCUGAGGAUGAUAAGUUGUACUAAGAGCAACUCGAGAUCCUAAUUCAUGUUUCAUUCUCAGCCACAAGUAAGAAGUGAAACGAGUAUCACAAUUGGAAAUAAUCUUUAGUGGUGCGCCAUGUCUCGCCACAAUUUUAUCUAAGUAAACUUGUGCUUAUUUCUCCAUUAGAACUGUUGUACGUAUGGCGAGAAAAUAUGUACUCAUAGUCAGCUUGUCGACAAUUACCCAAAUGCUAUCAUUCUAUAUAGCAGUCUCUGGUAAUUAAAGUAGCACCAUACAUAAGGUCAAUUCGGAAUUCUACUUGCCUAUUCGGGGUAGACCAGGCAAUUCGUCGGGAAGAUCAUCAAGAUUUUCAUUAAUAAUGGAAACAUCAUUUACAAUUUUCUUCCCCUUUCUUGACAUAUCAAUUGCAUUAGCCGAAUAAGUAGAAUAUCUCUUCGAUAUAAAUUUACAAGUUUUUAAGAAAGAAGUUAUUAUUUUCAACGUAGACAUAAAUAUAAUCCUCUUCUUCGAUAGGGAUGCAUGAUAUCUCUUCGUAGCACAAGAGUUCUGCUUGGUUCUUUGACAACCAAUCCAUGCCGAGAAUAAUAUCAAAGUUGGGCAAGGAGAUAUUAGCAAGAAGAUUAAAACAUUCUAUUCUUAUAACAUAAUCUCUAUAAAGUAUAUCAACAAGUAAUGAUAUACUUCCUAUAUUAUUUAUAUGAAAUGAUUGGACAAUUGCAUAACAAGAAAUUCGAAAAGAAUGAGUGAAUUUAUAAGGCACGAAAGAAUCUUAGGCAUUGAAAUCAAAUAAGAUGUGAGAAGAUCUAGAGUUUACGAGAAAAUUACUAGUCACAACAUUCGAGUUUUAACUUACUUCCUUUAUGGUAAUCUAAAAUGUUUGAUAUUUAAGAUUUGCCAAACGAUUGUCAAAUUAUUCAAACUUCCUAAUUACUAGCGAUGUUCAAACUUGCACCCUCUCUUCAUUCUCUAUUGAACAUUUGAUCCUAAUCUUUGAGUUAAAACUCAAUUCUCAUUGCAGACUCCUGCUCCUUCUUGGUUUAUAGACUAAACCCAAGAUAAGGUCUUUACUUUUGCUAUAACAACAACUCGAAUGGUCAUAUUAUAAUGACCUUUGAUUUUAUCUCGCACAAGACACGUAACGAACCAAGCUCUUGUAUUAGAAUCAGAUCAAAUAAAUCGAGCUGAUAGAAUACAAAAACAAAAAGAGUUUGAUCAACACGUCGAUGCUUCAGAAUAGAAAGAAUAGCACCAUGUAUCUCUAAUUCGUGCUUUCGGACCUACAUAUCUUUUAGCUUUUGGCACCUCCUAAUAUUUAUUUGUAGUACUCUUUGAUUGUUGAAUGGAAACUUGACUCCCAGCCAUUUGACUAGUAAGAGUAGGGCAUAAACAUUUCUUGUGGCCAGUACCACCACAUAGCAAGUCAUAUUUCUAGCUAAUGAUUGCUCAAUUCUUUAAUGAAGAUCGUUAUAUUUCUAUCGACUACCUCGAUCUUUUACUUCUUCAGUAUUCCUACUGAAGUUUUAUCACUAUAUAAGACAUGGUUCUCUGAACCAAUCAACUCCUUUCGCGGGUUUAUACUAAUCCGACUCAAUUCUUUAUGACAUUAAGAGUUGAAUAAUACUUAUCUUCUUAGUCAUUACCGAAACGAAGGUAACGACACACCUGAAUAAAACGAAAUCAUUUAC